AUGGUCGACGACACCGAUACCAUCACCGCCACUGCAGCGUGGCACCAUCGCUAUCAUCACCAACAUAAUCUCCGCUACCGAUGUGAUUGUCCACCACCUCUCCACUUUAAGAACAUGCUCUCAAAACAAACUUAUCAAGUUCUUUUUCUUCUAUCCCUAAAGCAGUUUCUAAAUAAAAAAUCAUCAGAAUACAAUAAACCCCAGUAUAUCCAUCCUCCUGCUCAAUCCUAUAUAUCUAGACAACACAUAACUGAUAAUUGA